rnacentral:rRNA from 1 species
GUGCCAGCCGCCGCGGUAAUACGUAGGUGGCGAGCGUUGUCCGGAAUUAUUGGGCGUAAAGCGCGCGCAGGCGGGAAAGUAAGUCUACUCUAAAAGGGCGGGGCUCAACCCCGUGAUGGGGUGGAAACUGCUAUUCUUGAGUGCCGGGGAGGAAAGCGGAAUUCCCAGUGUACAGGUGAAAUGCGUAGAUAUUGGGAGGAAAACCAGUGGCGAAGGCGGCUUUCUGGACGGUGUCUGACGCUGAGGCGCGAAAGCCAGGGGAGCGAGGGGGAU